UUUGGAUUCUUUGUUAAGAUAAAUUCUUGCUCAAUGAGUAAAUUAAAUAGUCACAGUAAAUUAACUGUACUAAGGUAGCAUAAUAAGUUGCUUUAUAAUUAAAAGCUUGAAUGAAAGAAAUAAUGUGAAACAAGCUUUUUAAACUAAAGUAGUAAAAAUUAAUAUUUAAGUGAAAAAUCUUAAAUAAAAUCAAAAGACAAGAAGACCCUUUAGAACUUUACAAAUUAACUUAAUUUCAUUUGGUUAAUUUUGUUAGAUUGGGGAGAUUUUUAAAUAAAUAAAUCUUUAGAUAUAAAAAAAUGAUUUAAAUCAAAUUAAAUUAUCCAAAUAUGAAAUAAAACAAGUUACCUAAGGGAUAACAGCGCAAAAUUUUUGAGAAGUUCUCAUUUACAAAAUAAAUUGCGACCUCGAUGUUGGAUUAAGAACAACUUAUAAAGAAAAAUUUAUAAGAGUUGGUCUGUUCGCCCAAAUAAAUCUUACAUGAUCUGAGUUCAAACCGGA
rnacentral:rRNA from 1 species